UGGGGUUGUGGCUCAGUGGUAGAGCACUUGCUUAGCAUGUGUGAGGCACUGGGUUCAAUCCUCAGCACCACAA
rnacentral:tRNA from 1 species